UUAAUAGAAGCCAAAACCCCCCGAGGCUAUUCACUGUUAAUGAAUAUAAUGAUUAUAUCCUAUUAAA
rnacentral:tRNA from 2 species